AACGAACGCUGGCGGCAUGCCUAACACAUGCAAGUCGAACGAGAUCUUCGGGUCUAGUGGCGCACGGGUGCGUAACGCGUGGGAAUCUGCCCUUUGGUUCGGAAUAACAGUUGGAAACGACUGCUAAUACCGGAUGAUGAAAGUCCAAAGAUUUAUCGCCAGAGGAUGAGCCCGCGUAGGAUUAGCUAGUUGGUGUGGUAAAGGCGCACCAAGGCGACGAUCCUUAGCUGGUCUGAGAGGAUGAUCAGCCACACUGGGACUGAGACACGGCCCAGACUCCUACGGGAGGCAGCAGUGGGGAAUAUUGGACAAUGGGCGAAAGCCUGAUCCAGCAAUGCCGCGUGAGUGAUGAAGGCCUUAGGGUUGUAAACUCCUUUUGUUUCGAUGGAGACAUCGGAAAGAAUAAGCACUCGCUAACUACGUGCCAGCAGCCGCAGUAA
rnacentral:rRNA from 1 species